AGUUGCAAGAAGCACAAGAUCGAUAUAUGGAGGCCGCGAAAUGUAUUGAGAAGAUGCAGCAUCAAGUGCAAAAGUAAGAUUUAAAGCAGCACAGAGAAUAAGUAGGGAUUAAGUACGAAGCACCUAGGCAGUACAGUGUAAGAAUUAUACCAGGAAAGAUGACAAAUAAGACAUCAUUGGGGAGCCGGGUAAAAAUUUCAGUUUUGGGGUGUUGUGAAAUGGCUUUUCCCCAUUAUUUCUAAAUUUCUCUCAUUAUCCGCAAAACCCUGCUAGAAAAACAACAAAAUGGCCAAAACAUCUACCUUUCAAAAAUUUCUGAAUUUCUGCAAUGGAACCUGUGGAUGUUUGUGUACAAUUGGUGUGGUGGUCUUAACAAUCUAUGUGUGAGGAUAAUUAUUUUGAAAUACACAUUCUAGGCUUGAAAAGGAAAAUGCCGAGUUAAAAGAUACAAACAAAAUGCAAGCGGGCACAAUUGAAGAGCUUCAGAGAAACCCGCCGGGUCCAAGUUCGUUGCAAGAAGCACAAGAUCGAUAUAUGGAGGCCGCGAAAUGUAUUGAGAAGAUGCAGCAUCAAGUGCAAAAGCUUGAAAAGGAAAAUGCCGAGUUAAAAGAUACAAACAAAAUGCAAGCGGGCACAAUUGAAGAGCUUCAGAGAAACCCGCCGGGUCCAAGUUCGUUGCAAGAAGCACAAGAUCGAUAUAUGGAGGCCGCGAAAUGUAUUGAGAAGAUGCAGCAUCAAGUGCAAAAGCUUGAAAAGGAAAAUGCCGAGUUAAAAGAUACAAACAAAAUGCAAGCGGGCACAAUUGAAGAGCUUCAGAGAAACCCGCCGGGUCCAAGUUCGGUAAGUCGGGUUUUUUCUGUCAUAACCGAAAAGGAAUUUUAAUUGUGUUACCAAUAUUAUAUGAGACUAUUUUAGAAAAUAGGAAGAGUCUCACUGAUGAAAAGCAGUUACGGCAUCGAUAGUGGCACUCUUUGCUACGAAUAGCAGAAUUCCUCUUUAUAGAAGACAUUAACUGAAUUCAUAAAAUGAAUGAUUGUCGUAGGAAGAUUUUAAGUAGAAAGAUUGUGGAAGCGCUCCCAUUGUGGCU
rnacentral:lncRNA from 9 species